CCCAGGAGCCAGCCUGGGCGUCACCGCCGGCUCCGAGCUCCCGCUUGCAAGAGCCGUCGCAGGUGCCUGCGGGCGGAACAGCAUCUCUCCGCGCCUCCGUGGCUCCUCCGCAGCACCGGGCGCCUCGCAACAGCCACUCGGCGCGGUCGUCCUGGCGACAGGGUGUGCUGUGUGUGACAAAAGAACUUCUGGGGGGCGCGGGGCACAGAACACGCGGAGCAAAUGCGCGGCCGGCUCCUCCCCGCCUCCCUUCCUUCGCACGUGCGACAGGGAGAUGGGUUUUCCCUGCGGGCCUGGUUGGGUGAAGGAACCGGGCGAGGGGCUGAGUCCGAGCCCGACAGAGGCUUCUUAUUAAUGGAAUUGACUUUGACAGAUCAUUCCCACGAGAGGUCCAGAUAAGCAAGCCCGCCUCAAACAAGGCUCUUUGGUUCUAGGACCCAGGAAAUGACUCCCUGAGAUACACUCGUUAUGCACCCAGGGUCACCAGAAACAGAUUUACCUUGAAGCUGAGAAAAAUGAAGCUCCAAGCCUCUCACCCACGCAGGAGCCCCAGCAACACACUCACGGCCAUUUGCCUUUGUAAACUGGGCGGUGGUUUCUAGAACAUUGGCAGUUAAAUUUUGAUUCAGCACAUCCCCAAAGGAGACAGCAGAAGGAUUAGUCUGUUUAUAGGUGGGAAGAGUUGGCUGUCUCUUUGCAGGUGCUGAGGAAGCAGCUGUGAACAAGGGAGCCGGAUCCAUGCCGAGGUUCACCUCUUGUAAAGAUGAGCACCAGCAAGAGAAUCAGAAUGGUACAGCCUCUACAGAAAACAAUAUGACAGUUCUUCAAAAAAGUUAAACAUGGAAUUGCCAUAUGAUCCAACAGUUCCACUUCUGGGCAUAUGUCCACAAGAAUGGAGAGCAGGGACUCAAACAGAUGCUUGUACACCUAUGUUCAUAGAGGCAUUAUUCAUACUGGCCAAAAGGUGGAAACAGCCCAAGUGUCCCUGGAUGAAGGGAUAAACAAAUGUGCUGUCCACAUACAAGUGAAUAUUAUUCAGCUUUCAAAAGGGAGAAGAUUCUGAUGAGUACUACAACAUGGGUGACCUUGAGGACAUGAAGCUAAGUGAAAUAAACCCAUCACAAUAAGACAAAUACUGUAUAAUUCCAUUUACAUGAGGUACCUAAAGGAGUUGAAUUCAUAGAAACAGAAAAUAGAAUGGUGGUUGUCAGGGCAUGGGUUGAGGGGAGAAUGGUGAGUUAGUAUUUGAGCAGGACAGAGCUUCAGUUUGGGAAGAUGAAAUGGUGAUUCACAACACAGAAAUGUACUUAGUGCCGUGGAAGUGCAUGCUUUAAAGUGUUCUAAUGAUGCAGCGUAUAUUUUACCCAAACAAGAAGCUUCAAAGGGUGUCCGAGUAUCACUUGCACAUUUUUAGAGCUUCAGAGAGCAAUCUCAAAAAAAUUUUGCCCUGUGUAUCAUACUCUGUGUAUCAGCAGGAUCCCUAGGAGUUACCCAUCGAUCCUAUCCCUUCUGAUGUCCAAGGAGAUGAAAUUAUGUUGAUUGUUGUACCAUCUCUCUUGUCCUUUCACCUGGGUUCUGUGAUGCCGACAGCUCAGAGAGGUGAGGGCCUUAACCUUCAUCAGACCAUCGUCACCCUCACCCAGCCCAUUGAUCUGAUUUGCUAAAAAGAGAAUCGGUGGCAUAGAAGGAGAAAGAUUAAGGAAGGAUUCAACUCUGCUGCCCAACCAGUUUUCACUGCCUCCAGUAGAAAAUGUUCAAGAUUUGGGAUAAACUUUGUUGCCUGCACUAGUGAGUUUUUUUUCUCACCUAUUAAUAGACAGAUUUUGCAGGUCAUAGGAAAUAUUUGAUGGAGUGUUAGCAAAACAGUUGGGCUUCAAGGGAUAUGAAGGAAGAAGAUCCCAGGAAGCAUGAGAGGAAAGAUUAUAGACAUUGAGUUUUAAAUGUCCUCUGCCCUGGCUUUCUGACUUAACAUACAAUAAUAUAGUGCAUGUUACCGGAAACUAUAAAGACUAUUCUAUUCUUAAACCAAAACAAUACAAUAGAAUAUUCUUUUUUUAUUUUUUUAAAAAUUAUUUUUUUUUUAUUCAUGAGAGACACAGAGAGAGAGAGGUAGAGACACAGGCAGAGGGAGAAGCAGCCUCCAUGCAGGGAGCCCUGAGUGGGACUCGAUAGUGGGUCUCCAGGAUCAUGCCCCGGGCCAGAGGCAGGCACUAAACCGCUGAACCACCCAGCCAUCCCGAAUAUUCUACUCUUAUAUAAAACUUGGGGCACCAGAGUGGCUCAAUCCAUUAACCAUCUGCCUUUGGCUCAGGUCAUUAUCUCAGGGUCCUGGGACCCAGCUCCCUGCUUGGUGGGGAGCCUGCUUGUCCCUCUCCCACUCCCCCUGCUUAUGCUCUCUCUGGCUCUGUCAAAUAAGUAAACAAAAUCUUAAAAAAAUAAAUAAAUAAAGCUUGUACCUCAGAAUUCUAAGUUAGCAACAAUUGAAUUUUUAGAAAAGAAGAAUAAUCCUCAUUUGGGAAAGCCCCAGGCCUCCUUGAAAAAGUAAAGUUGGUGGUUAGGAUGGCCUCAAAUUGUUCUCUAUAUUAAUCGCUGACAGUAGCCAUGAGUAAUCCAUAAACACAAAAACAGGUCUGAUCUGGGGGAUGUCUGUGGCAGUUUCCAGCAGACCUGAUCUCUGCAUCCUCCUUCAUCAAGUCAGACCUAUACUGAGGCUGUGAUGAAGAACCUUAAGUAGGCGGAAAACUCUUUAGGAAAAAUGUAUGGAUGAGAGCCAUAAAUAAAGAUAUUGCCUAACCUCUCACUGACCUGGUCCCUCGGUGAUCAUGCUACAUGGAAGAGUGUUUCUUAGCUCCACGCUUGGCACUUAACAAAUGUUUUCUUUAUUGGGUGGCAUUAUUAUUGUUGUUGUUAUUCUGGAUGUCCCACACAUAGAGCAAUCACGUUUUUCAAGUCCCAAAUUAAGAACUUCUAGUAUAAGAUUUGUACAGUAUACUUAGGUAGACAGCAAGAUAGAUUAUUUCAAACCAAGGCUACCUAGAAAAGUCCAGGCUCUGUGUAGUCAGUCUCAUGGGCUCUCCAUUGACAGACCACUCCAGUUAAACUAUGAAAUCUGCCCAAGUUCCCAUAUUUUUGGGAUCUACAAAGGUGGUAGUUCAACCAAAUGCAAAUCCUUGUUGCAUUCAAUUCCAUUCACAAACACCCUUUGAGCACCUAAACGUAAAAUAUUGAGUUGAGUGCCAUGGGGAAUAAAAAAAAAAAAAAAAAAAGAGAUGGCCCAGACCUUCCAGAAGCUCAGGGACAGGAGGGUAUGGGAAGGGCUGCCCUUGUGCUGAGCAUCAGAGAUUCAGGGGAGCUCAGAUUCACUAUUUUUAAAAAUAUUUUUAGUUGAAGUAUAAUUGACAUACAAGUUUCAGAUGUACAAUAUAUGAUUCAACAAUGAUAUACAUUAUGAAAUGCUCACUGUGAUAGGUAUAGUUAUCAUCUAUCUCCAUUAAAAAGUUAUUACAAUAUUAUUGACUAUAUUCUCUAUGUUGUCCUUCCCACACCUGUGACUUAUUUAUUUCAUAAUUGGAAUUUUGUUACCUCUUAAGCCCCUUCACCUAUUUGGCCUCUUCA